AGUGAGAUAACUGAGUCAAAUGGUGGUUCCAUUCCCUUUUCUGAGGAAUCUCCAUACUGCCCUCCAGAGUGGAUGCACCAGUUUGCAGUCCCACCAGCAAU
rnacentral:pre_miRNA from 1 species